rnacentral:rRNA from 1 species
UGCCAGCCGCCGCGGUAAUACGGAGGGAGCGAGCGUUAAUCGGAAUUACUGGGCGUAAAGCGCGCGUAGGCGGCUUUGUAAGUCGGAUGUGAAAGCCCUGGGCUCAACCUGGGAAUGGCAUUCGAUACUGCCAGUCUUGAGUUCGGGAGAGGUGUGUGGAAUUCCGAGUGUAGAGGUGAAAUUCGUAGAUAUUCGGAGGAACACCAGAGGCGAAGGCGACACACUGGACCGAUACUGACGCUGAGGUGCGAAAGCGUGGGGAGCAAACAGGAUUAGAUA